UGCCGGUGACCUUGGUGCUGGCGGCGGUGGAGCAGCAGCUGCUGGAAAAAGGGUAGCCGUGGUUCCCACCUCCCGGUAAUGCCGUUAGUAAAGGAGUUGCGGUGGAGCCUGCCCGGGGGUCUCAGGCUGGUCUCCAGCAGCUCCCGUAGGAUGAGAGCAGGAGUCACCGCCCUUAACAUCAUGGCAGCUUUAACGCAGGUUAAAAGAAACGGCGAGCAAGUGAGAGAGAGAUGCCGAUCGGUGACCGCGAUGGGAACUGACGCUGGCUGGUCGGUGGUCGCGAGAGAGGGGGAAACUGACGCCGGCUGGUCGGUCGUCGCGAGAGUGGGGGGAUAUGACGCUGGCUGUUCGGUUGCCGCGAGGGGAGAACUGACGCGGCCUGGUCGGUGGUUACGGGGAGGGGGACUGACGUUGGCAGAUAUCCGUGGAAAUGCUGUUCAGCCUGUUGGCAUCUAUAAGCCAUGAGGUAUUUUCACAGUGAGAAGAUGUACAGGGCACCUGUCAACAUGGCUGUUAAUUCAGCUAAAUUAUCAAUCAUUAAGUGGCCCAGGUUGCUUUAUUUUGUGAUUUUCUCACCCUUUCUCUGAAGUAGCUCCAAACACUCUGUGCAGCACUCUUAAUAAGGAGGCUGGAAUCAUAAACUUGCUACCUUUCCAUGGCACAGCACAGGAUAUCACCACUGGGUUCUUUGUCAUGGAAGCCGAGUAUUCAUUCCUUGCAUUUAACCCAGAAAAAUGUGGUACAUCCAAUUCCAUGAGGAAGAAACUGUGAUCUUGCGAUUUGUAUAAUUAGGCAUAAUGACAGCCAAAGAAAUUACUACCCAAACCUUCUGCCAUCCUGGGUAUAGAAGAACCUGUGGUAAUGAACAGUUUGCAAAAUAAAAUGAAAAUAAACAAAGUAUCAGAUAAAAUUUUAUGUGCAGAACAAAACAUCUAAGUAUAUCCCUCUAGUGUGCUAUAAAUUUAAGUGAUUCUGCAUUAUCAAUAAAAUAUGAACACAUGACCAUA